CUCAGUUCGGAUCGGAGUCCGNAACCCGACUCCGUGAAGCUGGAUUCGCUAGUAAUCGCGCAUCAGCCAUGGCGCGGUGAAUACGUUCCCGGGCCCUUGUACACACCGCCCGUCAAGCCAUGGAAGCCGGGGGGGCCUGAAGUGUGCAGCCGCAAGGAGCGCCCUAAGGUAAAACCGGUGACUGGGGCUAAGUCGUAACAAGGUACC
rnacentral:rRNA from 1 species